rnacentral:rRNA from 1 species
GAUGAACGCUAGCUACAGGCUUAACACAUGCAAGUCGAGGGGAAACGAUAUUGGAAGCUUGCUUCCGAUAGGCGUCGACCGGCGCACGGGUGAGUAACGCGUAUCCAACCUGCCCAUCACUUGGGGAUAACCUUGCGGAAGUAAGACUAAUACCCAAUGACGUCUCUAGAAGACAUCUGAAAGAGAUUAAAGAUUUAUCGGUGAUGGAUGGGGAUGCGUCUGAUUAGCUUGUUGGCGGGGUAACGGCCCACCAAGGCGACGAUCAGUAGGGGUUCUGAGAGGAAGGUCCCCCACAUUGGAACUGAGACACGGUCCAAACUCCUACGGGAGGCAGCAGUGAGGAAGAUUGGUCAAUGGGCGAGAGCCUGAACCAGCCAAGUAGCGUGCAGGAUGACGGCCCUAUGGGUUGUAAACUGCUUUUAUAAGGGAAUAAAGUGAGUCUCGUGAGACUUUUUGCAUGUACCUUAUGAAUAAGGACCGGCUAAUUCCGUGCCAGCAGCCGCAGUAA